rnacentral:rRNA from 1 species
CCUACGGUAGGCAGCAGUGGGGAAUAUUGGGCAAUGGGCGCAAGCCUGACCCAGCAACGCCGCGUGAAGGAAGAAGGCUUUCGGGUUGUAAACUUCUGUUCUCAGGGACGAAGGACGUGACGGUCCCUGAGGACUAAGCCACCGCUAAAUACGUGCCAGCGGCCGCGGUAAUUCGGAGGUGGCAAGCGUUAUCCGGAUUUAUUGGGGGGAAAGGGCGGGUAGGCGGGGGCGAAAGGCAGAUGUGAAAACUCAGGGAUCAACCCUGAGCCUGCAUUGGAAACUGUGUUUCUGGAGUGCUGGAGAGGCAAUCGGAAUUCCGUGUGUAGCGGUGAAAUGCGUAGAUAUACGGAGGAACACCAGUGGCGAAGGCGGAUUGCUGGACAGUAACUGACGCUGAGGCGCGAAAGCGUGGGGAGCAAACAGGAUUAGAUACCCCUGUAGUC